GACGAACGCUGGCGGCGUGCUUAACACAUGCAAGUCGAGCGGUAGGGCCCUUUCGGGGGUACACGAGCGGCGAACGGGUGAGUAACACGUGGGUGACCUGCCCUUAGCUCUGGGAUAAGCCUGGGAAACUGGGUCUAAUACCGGAUAUGACUCCAUAACGCAUGUUGUGGGGUGGAAAGCCUUGUGCGGCUAGGGAUGGGCCCGCGGCCUAUCAGCUUGUUGGUGGGGUGAUGGCCACCAAGGCGACGACGGGUAGCCGGCCUGAGAGGGCGACCGGCCACACUGGGACUGAGACACGGCCCAGACUCCUACGGGAGGCAGCAGUGGGGAAUCUUGCGCAAUGGGCGAAAGCCUGACGCAGCGACGCCGCGU
rnacentral:rRNA from 1 species